GGCUUUUUGCACUUAUGAAGGGAAAUCCAUGCACCUGUGAUCCUCAUUCACCUUCACCUGGUGGAAAAACCUCUGCUUCUGUGAACAAGCUGGUCUGAAGGAGACCUCCAUGCCAGAGAGAGAGAGGGAGGCCAGGAGCUGUGUCACUGCCACAGAGAAUUAACUGCUUCCAGGUACAGGUGCAACAUCAAUGCCUCAAUCCCUGGCAAGAGUUAUAGGGGCAGAAAGGAUCUUCCAAGAGGCUGGUGCACUGAGAAGGAAGAAAACUGGAGGCAAUGUGUCCUCAGAUCUCUGCUUACAGAAGGAGUUUCAGAAGAACCUGAGAUAUUUAUGUGGCACAGUCUUCCCUAGAGCUUUCAGCCGGGGCCACUUUGGAGAGGAGGAGGAAGCGGUGGUGCUGAGUCCUGCUGUCUGGAAGGGCCUCUUGCCCCAGUUGUCCCUAUCCUGGCUUCUGUGUAUUCCUUUUCUCCAACCACAUGGAGUAAAGUUAUACGAUUCUCAUCCCCCAGAACUUAUC
rnacentral:lncRNA from 1 species